rnacentral:rRNA from 1 species
UGAGGAAUAUUGGACAAUGGGCGAAAGCUUGAUCCAGCAAUGUCGCGUGGGUGAUGACGGCCUUAGGUUGUAAAGCCCUUUCGUUAGUUAUAAAUUUUUGAUAUAGCUGAAAAAGAAGUCCCGGCUAACUACGUGCCAGCAGCCGCGGUAAUACGUAGGGAGCAAGCGUUGUUCGGAUUUACUGGGCGUAAAGGGCGCGUAGGCGGCCUGUCAAGUCAAUUGUGAAAUCUCCGAGCUUAACUCGGAACGGUCAAUUGAUACUGUCAGGCUAGAGUGCAGAAGGGGCAAUCGGAAUUCUUGGUGUAGCGGUGAAAUGCGUAGAUAUCAAGAGGAACACCUGAGGUGAAGACGGGUUGCUGGGCUGACACUGACGCUGAGGCGCGAAAGCCAGGGGAGCAAA